ACCCUUUAAUGUUUGAUGUUCUAACGUGGACCCGUAAUCCGGGUUGCGGACAGUGUCUGGUGGGUAGUUUGACUGGGGCGGUCUCCUCCUAAAGAGUAACGGAGGAGCACGAAGGUUGGCUAAUCCUGGUCGGACAUCAGGAGGUUAGUGCAAUGGCAUAAGCCAGCUUGACUGCGAGCGUGACGGCGCGAGCAGGUGCGAAAGCAGGUCAUAGUGAUCCGGUGGUUCUGAAUGGAAGGGCCAUCGCUCAACGGAUAAAAGGUACUCCGGGGAUAACAGGCUGAUACCGCCCAAGAGUUCAUAUCGACGGCGGUGUUUGGCACCUCGAUGUCGGCUCAUCACAUCCUGGGGCUGAAGUAGGUCCCAAGGGUAUGGCUGUUCGCCAUUUAAAGUGGUACGCGAGCUGGGUUUAGAACGUCGUGAGACAGUUCGGUCCCUAUCUGCCGUGGGCGCUGGAGAACUGAGGGGGGCUGCUCCUAGUACGAGAGGACCGGAGUGGACGCAUCACUGGUGUUCGGGUUGUCAUGCCAAUGGCACUGCCCGGUAGCUAAAUGCGGAAGAGAUAAGUGCUGAAAGCAUCUAAGCACGAAACUUGCCCCGAGAUGAGUUCUCCCUGAGACUUA
rnacentral:rRNA from 1 species